rnacentral:rRNA from 1 species
CUGGUAUGCACUGGUGCUACUGAUUUCUCCCUUCUGAAGAACUAUCAUGCCAUUCAUUUGGUGUGGUAGGGAAUCAGGACUGUUACUUUGAAAAAAUUAGAGUGUUUAAAGCAGGCUCACGCUUGAAUACAUUAGCAUGGAAUAAUGAAAUAGGACGUUGAUCUUAUUUUGUUGGUUUCUAGGAUUGACGUAAUGAUUAAUAGGGAUAGUUGGGGGCAUUAGUAUUCAAUUGUCAGAGGUGAAAUUCUUGGAUUUAUUGAAGACUAACUACUGCGAAAGCAUUUGCCAAGGAUGUUUUCAUUAAUCAAGAACGAAAGUUAGGGGAUCGAAGACGAUCAGAUACCGUCGUAGUCUUAACCAUAAACUAUGCCGACUAGGGAUCGGAUGAUGUUAAUUUUUUAAUGACUCAUUCGGCGCCUUACG